rnacentral:rRNA from 1 species
GGGCCCGCACAAGCGGUGGAGUAUGUGGUUUAAUUCGAUGCAACGCGAAGAACCUUACCAGGGUUUGACAUCCUGCGAAUCUCUUGGAAACAGGAGAGUGCCUUCGGGAACGCAGUGACAGGUGGUGCAUGGCUGUCGUCAGCUCGUGUCGUGAGAUGUUGGGUUAAGUCCCGCAACGAGCGCAACCCACGUCUUUAGUUGCCAGCAUUUAGUUGGGCACUCUAGAGAGACUGCCGGUGAUAAACCGGAGGAAGGUGUGGAUGACGUCAAGUCAUCAUGCCCCUUACAUCCUGGGCUACACACGUACUACAAUGGUAGUGAGCAAUUGGGUUAAUCCCCAAAAAAG